GGAAGACUUAAGAUGGCGGCGUUUGCACGGAGUGCAAUCACUGCGUCCUUACGGGGGUUGCAAGGCGUCCGAAGUAUGAGUCCACUAACAAAAGUCCAGAAACUCGCCAGUUAAUAGUAUUGUGUCUCUUCAAAAUAUCGGAGAAUAAUUUCUUUCUCGCUGAUCGCCUAACUUCUACUGACGAAGCUUGGAAGUUGCAGAAGGUACUGGCUCCUGUAUCACCCAGCUCUGGAGUUGAAAGAGCUCUUCAUUCCUGAGUCUCCUGUACCACUGAGAAUAGGCUGGAGUGCAGUGGCGCAAUCUCGGCUCUCUGCAACCUUCACCUCCCGUGUUCAAGUGAUUCUCCUGCCUCAGCCUCCUGAAUACCUGAGAUUACAAGCAUGCACCACCACGCCCGUCUAAUUUUGUAUUUUCACUAGAGACGGGGUUUCUCCAUGUUGGUCAGGCUGGUCUCGAACUCCCGACCUCAGGUGAUCCGCCCGCCUCAGCCUCCCAAAGUGCUGGGAUUACAGGCAUGAGCCACCGCGUCCAGCAAGAAUAGGUGAUUUUCAAACUUGGAAACAUUCAGAAGUUAUCGCCUCAGUUUCAGAUUGAGUAGUCUCAAAGAGAUUACAGACAUCUACCACAAAUUCUCUACUUGGUGUGGUGCAAAAUCAGUAUGAUGUAAACUUUGUCUCUCAGUUUCUUCAAAGGAAAGAAGCAACUGGAACACACAUAUAACACUAACCCUUCCAGCUGCAUUAUGAGGGACCAGUACCUGUCUCAAGGCAAAAUUAUGACUUAGUUCAUCCUCACCUCUGGAGGCCAGUAAAAGUGGGUUAUAGAAGAAC
rnacentral:lncRNA from 10 species